rnacentral:misc_RNA from 1 species
AUAAAAAUCUUCGGCGGUAAAUAGCUUCUUUUACAGCCGGUGCUGGCGGUGGGUGCUCCUGCCCUUACGCAGAGAGCCCCCCGUUUAAACCCGAAAGCGGGGUAGCCAAAGGCCGCGGCAAUAGUAGAAAUAUCUUUGUCAGCGUAUGCCCUCAGCGAACCCCUGGCCUGACUAAAAUAAAGGUCCCCCUGUGGACCAGAAU